ACCACGCAUUAAGAGAGGACUGAUGUCCCGCCAACCUGCGUGUUCCAGCAAGGUGGUUGCCUUAAUUAGGCGAUGAGACCUAAGGGUAACCAACGGGUCAUCA
rnacentral:ncRNA from 1 species